CCACACUUUAGCCCGUCUUCAACGCAUAUUAUGCAAAUCCCCCCUCUUUCAGAUUUUCAAACCCUCAACUCCCCCUUAUCCCAAAAACGUUGAUUCUUCUUCUUCUUCUCCAACUCACUGUGGCAAAAUUCCAUCACCGCCGCCACCUCUCUGACCGCCGAAAACCGGAAACCCGUACUCUUCCAUCCAUUCCAAGUUGCUUCAAGAUUGAUUGAGUUGUGGCCUUGGAAAGCCCUAUUAUCACUAUAUAUUUGCGUCUCUCCGAUUUUUUUACAAAUUUGCAUUUGUUAUUCCUUUAUCUUCAAUGACUAAGUCCAAGUAGGUUUCCAGGAUCAUCCCUCCAUCCAUUUUUAUGCUUGCAUUGUCCUGAUUUCACUAGAUUGUAUGAUUGGGUGAACCCUAAUUUUUUAAUUUUGGGAGUUUUAUGAAUUGAUUGUGUAAUUUUGAAAUUAGGUAUGGUAGGGUCUUAACAUAUGAUUCGCCCCUUGACUGGGAUGAGUUUUUCUAUUUGAAAAAUUGGCAUGAUGACUGAAAUUUCACUUUGAAUGAUGAAUCGAGACUUAGGCUAGUUGUUUGAUGAAUUGUGACUUGCUUAUGACUACUAAUCUUUCUGGAAUUUGCAAUCAAAAUUUGUGACUUGAAACUGUGAGUUAGGAUAGUAAAAUAAGUGUGGGCUGGUCUUUGUGUCCUUGUGUUAUGAACUAUUUUUUGUUGCAGAGAGCGUGGACGUCUUCUCACUGCGGUUCCUCUAGUAGAACCAAACAUCCAUCUUUAGAGCCACCAAGCUACGGUUAUUUGUCUUCUGAAGAGAAUACACCUUUUCCAGCACAUGUUCCUUGCCAGAUGCAUGCAGUGGACGUGCACCAGUAUUUCACUACUAUGGAUGAUAGGUCAUAGAUCAGGUAUUGGGACAACCACCAUUUUCCCGCCGCUCCAACAGUUGCCCUCGACCUAGAAAGCAUUCACAAAAUGAACGCAGAUUGGGAGGAUAUGGUGGAACUUCAGCUCCACCAAGGAGGCCUCUUCUUCACUUACACAGAUCAAAACCAGCCUAAUCUGCUAGAACUUCAAGAGUUUUGGAGCUCCUUCAGCUUCCGGAAUUGUAAAGGAUUACAAGAACAGAAUGUGCAUCUCUUAUCGUCAUGGGGCACCAGUUCAACAAAAUGCUCAAUGAGUUCCAUGACUCCCUGGGUUUCUCUAUGGGUCAUCCACUCUCUCUCGCCCAAACAGAGAGGGUGACAACCAUGCCAUUAUCCGAGAUGAGGUCAUAAAGCUGUGAAGGGAAAUUACCAACAACCUCGACCCCACCGUCAUCUUUAACACGUCGGAGUCCUCUUACACGCACAUCCUCGACCUGAUGGCUUGCUUUUUCCACAUGUUUUGGCAUUAUGGUCUCGCCUAAAGGGACAAGGAAGAACGCGAUGCACACCACGUCCUUAAGGAAGAGCUCAUCUUCCUUCACGAGAUUAGGAAGCAUAAACCCAUCCACAUCAGUUGGGUUGUCGCGAUGUUCUUCCACAGUCAUCAGAGUGGGAAGAUGGCGGCACUACUAGGCAGUUUUUGUUUCAUAGCUGAUCCAACAAAGGGUUUUCCAGAAUAGGUGGGAUGGGGUACCUCAUCCUCCUACACCAGCGAAAUAGUGGAUGGGAGCCAACAAUCUUUGGCGGAUGGAUAUUGAUCUCGACCUUCCAUUCCUCGAUCCCGAGACUAUCCAAGCUCGCCAUGCACGCUAUGGCGCUCAGUAGGGAUAGGCAUCACGAUGGGGUCGUGGUAAAGGCCACAGUCUUGAAGGAGACCAGCAGGAAGUAGCUGCCGCUCAGGUCGAGGGGGUACGAAUCCAGACACCAAGAGGCACCAAAAAUAGCCUUCGUUAUAUAUGAAAAGGGAUUGUAAUUUAAAUCCACGAUAUCAGGCAAUUUUCCAUAGUAUGGCAUUGAUCCUUGAAUCAGACGGUUGUCUGAGGUGCUUGAAAAACUCCGAGUGCCCAUAUCAGCGAAAACUCCACUAUUUUGUGUUGUCAUCAUCUUUUAGCGGUAAAGUGUGCGAAAUCUAAACCCGUUCAUGUCAAAUGUUGUAUAUCUCACUAAUUCAAUUAACGGUCCUUGAGCAAGCAGUUGUAGAUCUUUGGAGUGCGUGGUAACUUCAUCAUUGAUGAUAUGAAAUAACUCUACUUUGCUCGAUUGCAGUGUAAUCAAUACAAAC
rnacentral:lncRNA from 1 species